UACGUAGGGGGCAAGCGUUGUCCGGAAUCAUUGGGCGUAAAGCGCGUGUAGGCGGCUCGGUAAGUCCGCUCUGAAAGUCCAGGGCUCAACCCUGGGAUGUGGGUGGAUACUGCCGAGCUCGAGUCCGGAAGAGGCGAGUGGAAUUCCUGGUGUAGCGGUGAAAUGCGCAGAUAUCAGGAGGAACACCAAUGGCGAAGGCAGCUCGCUGGGACGUGACUGACGCUGAGACGCGAAAGCGUGGGGAGCAAACAGG
rnacentral:rRNA from 1 species